rnacentral:lncRNA from 1 species
GGUGGUUCCGUGUGGUGCCUCAGAUAGACUUUGAUUAUUUGUUCCUUCUGACAACUGCUAGGAAGGAGCCCAGAACAGCUGCUACCUUGGACAAAUCUCAAAGACCUUGUCGACGAAAAUAAUCCAUAACCAAUCUGUAAAUGAAAAUUUGGGUGAGUUUAUUCUGAGCUGAAAUCUGAGGACCAUGGCCUGGGGCCUUUCUUCCCAAAGGAAGAAAGGGCACCAAAGAAAUGAGGUAUACAGAAUGGUUAUAUACCCCCAAAGAGGGUGCUUUACAUAUGAUUGAAAUGUCCCUCCCACAAUAGUCACAAGAUUGCCCUGUCUGCACAGCGCUUGAUGGACACAGCAGGUAGUGGGUCUGCUAUCUUCAUGGGUGUAGCAGGAGGCAAGUCUAUUGUCUCGAGCUGGGCGGUCACAGCCCCUGCAACCACCAAUCUGUUAUCUGUUCCUGUGAAAUCAGUUGUUUGUUUAGAUUCUGCAUCCUACUCAGCUUUUACCACCAAGUGUCUAUGAUCUAGGUCAGUCAGGACACAGUCAAGGGAUGUCGGAGCUGCUGUGGUCAGCGAGGGGACAAUAAAAAAGGAAGUAAGAGGAAGACCGCAUAUAGAGAAGUGAGACAAUACUCCUGACUUAGAGCAGAAAACCUGGAGAUCCCUUUCACUAUUGUGUUUCUAAAAGCCUUGAAGAAUUUCUGUCUCACUCCAAGUGCCGCUGGAUGCCAUAUAUGGACAUUUCUCCAAUCAUGAAAUUAUGGCCUACAGAAAUAAAAAUGACCUCUACAGAAAAAAAUGGCCUCUAUAUAAGGUUGUUUUUGCAUAUAAUGGGCUACAUUUACUCAUGAUACUGAAUUUCUUCUCAUUCAAAAAUAUAACUAAGUCACAUAAAAUAAAACACUAGAAUUAUUGGUAUAACUGUUAUUUCAG